rnacentral:rRNA from 1 species
GACAGAGGGUGCAAACGUUGUUCGGAAUUACUGGGCGUAAAGCGCGUGUAGGCGGCCCUGCAAGUCGGAUGUGAAAUCCCACGGCUCAACCGUGGAAGUGCAUUCGAAACUGCAGGGCUAGAGUCCUGGAGAGGAAGGUGGAAUGCCUGGUGUAGAGGUGAAAUUCGUAGAUAUCAAGCGGAACACCGGUGGCGAAGGCGGCCUUCUGGACAGUGACUGACGCUGAGACGCGAAAGCGUGGGGAGCAAACAGGG